GCAAACUUGGUCAUUUAGAGGAAGUAAAAGUCGUAACAAGGUUUCCGUAGGUGAACCUGCGGAAGGAUCAUUACUGAGGAACACGCAUUGCUGUUGCUGGCCUUCGGGCAUGUGCACGCAUUGCAAUAUCUUCUAUCCACACCUGUGAACCUUAACGAGAGUCGGUCGCGUUCGCGUGGCUCUCUCGAUUUCAUACACUACAUUAUCAAUUCAGAACGUCGUACAUUCAUAAAUGUAACAACUUUCAACAACGGAUCUCUUGGCUCUCGCAUCGAUGAAGAACGCAGC
rnacentral:misc_RNA from 1 species